GCACUUGGCUGUGGAAGGUAGAAUAGAAAUUGAUACAACAAAAUCUUAAUUCUAAUAGAAUACUAAGUAAACUCUAAUUAAACCUUAACAAUGUCAAAUCAGCUUUAAUCAAAUUUAAAAGAAACCCUAAAGAAAUUAUAAGAAAAAUAAUAAGAAAUCUUAAAAGAGUUGAAAGAAAAUCUACAAUAAACCUUAAAAGAAUCCUUAAGAAAUCCUAAAAAAUAUUAGAAUAAUUAAAAAUAUAUCUUAAAUAAAUCUCAAAUAAGUUCUAAUUUAAUCCUCCUUAAAAUCCUAAUGGACUUCAACCAAACCUUAGAAAAAUCUUAAAUCCUAAAUAUUAAAAUAAAUCUUAGACAAAUCUUAAAUUCUAAACCAAAUCCUAAACAAAUCCUACAUCUUAGAUCAAAUCCUAGACAAAUCCUAAAUCCUAGAUCAAACCCUAAAUAAAUCCUAGACAAAUCAUAAAUCCUAAACCAAAUCCUAGACAAAUCCAAAAUCUUAAAUCAAAUCCUAGAAAAAUUCUAAAUCCUAAAUCAAAUCCUAGACAAACCCUAAAUCCUAAACCAAAUCCUAAAUAAAUCGUAAAUUCUAAACCAAAUCCUAAUCAAUUCAAUGUAAUCCUAGUACUAUAAAGAACCUCAAUAAUUAUCAAUUGAAUUGUUG
rnacentral:lncRNA from 1 species